UGAGUAACGCGUGUGCAACCUGCCCGGCACAGUGGGAUAAUCCGGAGAAAUCCGGUCUAAUACCGCAUGACGCGGGAAAGGCGCAUGCCUUUUCCGCCAAAGGAGGCGACUCCGGUGCCGGCUGGGCACGCGUGACAUUAGCUAGUUGGCGGGGCGACGGCCCACCAAGGCGACGAUCAGUAGCCGGCCUGAGAGGGUGGACGGCCACAUUGGGACUGAGACACGGCCCAGACUCCUACGGGAGGCAGCAG
rnacentral:rRNA from 1 species